rnacentral:rRNA from 1 species
CCUACGGGAGCCUGCAGUGAGGAAUAUUGGUCAAUGGACGAGCGUCUGAACCAGCCAAGUAGCGUGAAGGAUGACUGCCCUAUGGGUUGUAAACUUCUUUUAUAUGGGAAUAAAACGUUCCACGUGUGGGCUUUUGUAUGUACCCUAUGAAUAAGGAUCGGCUAACUCCGUGCCAGCAGCCGCGGUAAUACGGAGGAUCCGAGCGUUAUCCGGAUUUGUUGGGUUUAAAGGGAGCGUAGGUGGAUUGUUAAGUCAGUUGUGAAAGUUUGCGGCUCAACCGUAAAAUUGCAGUUGAAACUGGCAGUCUGGAGUACAGUAGAGGUGGGCGGAAUUCGUGGUGUAGCAGUGAAAUGCUUAGAUAUCACGAAGAACUCCGAUUGCGAAGGCAGUUCACUGGACUGCAACUGACACUGAGGCUCGAAAGUGUGGGUAUCAAACAGGAUUAGAUACCCGGGUAGUC